rfam:Pseudobutyrivibrio ruminis strain ACV-9 genome assembly, contig: IE77DRAFT_scaffold00002.2
AGGGCUGGUCGAAAGACCCAGGUCCAACCUAUUAGGCGGGGCGACUCCCC